rfam:Capsicum annuum cultivar Zunla-1 chromosome 10, whole genome shotgun sequence
UAUUGAUGAUGUGGAUAGUCCUGUAGAAUAUCUUUGAACCUCUCCUAAGCAUAAUAUAAGUUCUCAUCUGGCUUCUGUUUGAAGCUCAUAAUCUCACUGCACAGUCU